GACGAACGCUGGCGGCGUGCCUAAUACAUGCAAGUCGAACGCAGUGGGGACGGUUGAGUAACACGUGGGUAACCUCCCAUCAGAGCGGAUAACACUUCGAAACAGGUGCUAAACCGGUACGGAUGGAUGGACCCGCAGUGCAUUAGCUAGUUGGUGAGGUAACGGCUCACCAAGGCCACGAUGCAUAGCGGGUCUGAGAGGGUGAUCGGCCACACUGGGACUGAGACACGGCCCAGACUCCUACGGGAGGCAGCAGUAGGGAAUAUUCGGCAAUGGACGAAAGUCUGACCGAGCAAUGCCGCGUGAGUGAAGAAGGCUCUCGGAUUGUAAAACUCUGUUGGUAGAGAAGCGGUACCUACAGAGAAAGCCACGGCUAACUACGUGCCAGCAGCCGCGGUAAUAC
rnacentral:rRNA from 1 species